rnacentral:tRNA from 1 species
ACUGGGGUGGCUCAGUUGGUUGAGCACCUGACUUCAGCUCAGGUCUUGAUCUCACAGUU